AUAUGGGCGUUAAAACUCACAAGUCCAGCUGAAGACUGUCACAGAUCUGAUCCUGCUUUUACUGCUCAGGGAAAUGAAUGGGAUUUCUUUAAAAUCUUUUAUUAAUAUAAAUUUAUGCUGUAUAAGAAGAAUGAUCUGUUUCAGCCCUGCAGACUGAGAGAGUGUUCAGCCCUGUGAGGAGUGAUUUCUGACUCUGAGGGAAUGUAGGAAGCUGGAUUUACUGAGGAUAGAUAUUCUCUUGUGACAACUUCUCAUAGAUCCUAACUAUGAGUUCUCUACCACCCAUACGAGACGAUAGGAUCAUCUGUGAGCUCCCACUGUACUUCACCAAGGAUGCUGCUCUGCACACCAAAGACGGCUUUCACGUUACCGUCCAAAACGCAUGUCAGACUCAGACAUCAGACCCCAUGGGAUUUAAUGUAGCCAAGGUAAUAGUCGUGGGUGAUGUUGGAGUAGGAAAAACAUGUUUAAUUAACAGGUUUUGUAAGGAUACUUUUGACAAAGGCUACAAAGCCACUAUUGGAGUGGACUUUGAGAUGGAGAGAUUUAAGGUCCUAGGAGUGCCUUUCAACCUGCAGCUAUGGGACACUGCAGGCCAGGAGAGGUUUAAAUGCAUUGCGUCCACCUAUUACAGAGGGGCCCAAGCCAUCAUAGUUGUAUUUGAUCUGAGCAACUACUACUCUUUGGUUAAUGCAAGACAGUGGCUUGAAGAUGCCAUGAUAGACAACGACCCUUCCAGUGUGCUUCUCUUCCUCGUGGGGACCAAGAAGGACCAGAGUCAUCCAGACCUGCUGGCCCAGAUGGAGGAGGAAGCCAUUAAGUUGUCAGAGGAGAUAAAAGCUGAGUACUGGGCUGUUUCUGCUCUGUCAGGAGAGAGCGUGAGGCAGCUGUUUCUCCGGGUUGCGUCACUUACCUUCGAGGCUUCUGUUUUAGCGGAACUGGAAAGGAAGAACACGAGACAUGCAGACAAUGUUGUUAAAAUCACUGGAGAUCACAACGACUUCAGGAAGAAGAAGCAAAGCAACUGCUGCAAUUAAGUGUUAAGUUGAGAAGUGUGAUGUCAGCAAACAGUAACAUCACGUAGUUCACCCGGCAGCACCGACUGCCCCUAAAGAACUCCAGCUGCACUGGACUGCCCAAACAGCUGACGUCAAAGCUGAUGGCUGUGUGAGAACCUCAGAAAUGCUCUUUAAACAAUUAAACAGUGAAGAACAAUGAAGGAUCUUACUGCGCUUGUGCUCAGCGUCCCAGACACGCAUCUGCAGGAUAAAAUGAUAUAAUUGUGUUGCCAAAAGAGGCUUUAUGGUGUAUUUAUCAUGUGUUAAUGAUUGUGAAAAUGUGUUAAUAUGUGUAUUACAUAUUUAAAGGGAUAUAAAAAGGAUAAUAUAUAGAAAAGAAAUUCCACAUACAGCACCAGUCAAAAGUCUAGACACUCUACACACUUUCUCAUUCAAGAAGGUUUUUUAUUUAAUUCCUACACUGUAUAAUAGUACUAAAGUCAUCUAUGAAGGAGCACAUAAGAAAGCAUGUAGUGACUUAAAAGUAUUAUUUUAUUUAAUCUUUUGACAGGUACUGUAUAUCUUUAUUGUCUCUGAAAAACCUUGUAUCUCCAAAAUACUAAGAAAAAAACAUAUGAACAUAUGAACAGCAAACAUUUUCAAUAAUUUUGUAGCACCUCUACAGUUUCAUUUAUUGUGACAUUUUGAAACGAAAAAAACCUGCCACUUUAUUAUUACAUUAUUAUUAUUAGAUUAUCAUGAGAAGAAAAACAGCAAAAUUGGAGGUACAUGGUUUUUGAAUUACUCUAGAAUUCUGAACACAAUUAUGAAGGGGUUAAUAUGACUGUAGCAGUUGUGAAUAGUGCCUUAAGAAAUAUUUUAUUGAAUAAGAGUCUAUUUUAUUGAACUUAAAUGAUUGACUGAACUUUAAUUAUUUAAGUGUGUGGAGACACUGUUCUGACACAAGCUUUUAUUUACUUUUCUUAUUCAUGUGUUUACAAGUUUACAAGAUGUUUGAGGUGCACUCACUUUUGUGUGUUACCUUGUUUUAGGAAUUUUAUGAAGGAAAUCAUUUUAGUGUUUUUUGGGGAUUUAUCUGAAUAUUGGUGCACCUACUAGCCUUAUCCCUAUCUUUAUGUUUACUGCCUUGAUUAAUAUAAUUGCCCUCUAUAUUCCAUAAUCUUCUGCUGUAAUAAAAGCAUU